GACGAACGCUGGCGGCGCGCCUAACACAUGCAAGUCGAACGAGAGAGAGGGAGCUUGCUUCCUUGAUCGAGUGGCGAACGGGUGAGUAACGCGUGAGGAACCUGCCUCAAAGAGGGGGACAACAGUUGGAAACGACUGCUAAUACCGCAUAAGCCCACGACCCGGCAUCGGGAAGAGGGAAAAGGAGCAAUCCGCUUUGAGAUGGCCUCGCGUCCGAUUAGCUAGUUGGUGAGGUAACGGCCCACCAAGGCAACGAUCGGUAGCCGGACUGAGAGGUUGAACGGCCACAUUGGGACUGAGGCACGGCCCAGACUCCUACGGGAGGCAGCAGUGGGGAAUAUUGCACAAUGGGGGAAACCCUGAUGCAGCGACGCCGCGUGGAGGAAGAAGGUCUUCGGAUUGUAAACUCCUGUUGUUGAGGAAGAUAAUGACG
rnacentral:rRNA from 1 species